AGCGAACGCUGGCGGCGUGCCUAACACAUGCAAGUCGAGCGGACUGUUUUGGGGCAACUCGAGACGGUCAGCGGCGGAAGGGUGAGUAACACGUGGGUAACCUGCCCGGGAGACUGGGAUAACAUCUCGAAAGGGGUGCUAAUACCAGAUAUGCUCCCCCAGGCGCAAGUUUGGGGGAGCAAAGGUUGCCCAAGCCGCUCCUUCCGGAUGGGCCCGGGGCCCAUUAGCUAGUUGGCGGGGUAAUAGCCCACCAAGGCAACGAUGGGUAGCCGGCCUGAGAGGGUGGUCGGCCACACUGGGACUGAGACACGGCCCAGACUCCUACGGGAGGCAGCAGUGGGGAAUUUUCCGCAAUGGGCGAAAGCCUGACGGAGCGACGCCGCGUGGGGGAUGAAGGCCUUCGGGUUGUAAACCCCUGUCAUGGGGAAAGAGGGGCCCGGUGGUGAACAGCCGCCGGGUCUGACGGUACCCCAAGAGGAAGCCACGGC
rnacentral:rRNA from 1 species